UACGUAGGGUGCAAGCGUUAAUCGGAAUUACUGGGCGUAAAGCGUGCGCAGGCGGUUUGUUAAGACAGAUGUGAAAUCCCCGGGCUUAACCUGGGAACUGCAUUUGUGACUGGCAAGCUAGAGUAUGGCAGAGGGGGGUAGAAUUCCACGUGUAGCAGUGAAAUGCGUAGAGAUGUGGAGGAAUACCGAUGGCGAAGGCAGCCCCCUGGGCCAAUACUGACGCUCAUGCACGAAAGCGUGGGGAGCAAACGAGG
rnacentral:rRNA from 1 species